UUCUAUGGGCGGGCUGUGGUGGGGGAGCCGCGAGGCUCGCCGGAAUGUUGGAACGCCGGUCUGUCAACCGCAUCACGUGCCCGCUCACCCCU
rfam:Paraburkholderia terricola strain LMG 20594 genome assembly, contig: Ga0075244_1027